UUUCGGCGCGGUCCUUCGCGAUGAGGAAAACGCCGCGCGCAAUCGCCU
rnacentral:sRNA from 1 species